rnacentral:rRNA from 1 species
CAAAACAAAAAGCGGAGGAAAAGAAACCAACAGGGAAGGCCCCAGAAACGGCGAGUGAAGCGGCAACAGCUCAAAUUUGAAAUCUGGCCCCCAGGGCCCGAGUUGUAAUUUGCAGAGGAUGCUUUUGGCGCGGUGCCUUCCGAGUUCCCUGGAACGGGACGCCAUAGAGGGUGAGAGCCCCGUCUGGUCGGACACCAAGCCAGUGUAAAGCUCCUUCGACGAGUCGAGUAGUUUGGGAAUGCUGCUCUAAAUGGGAGGUAUAUGUCUUCUAAAGCUAAAUACCGGCCAGAGACCGAUAGCGCACAAGUAGAGUGAUCGAAAGAUGAAAAGCACUUUGAAAAGAGG